GAAGAAGAAGAAGAUAAGAGAGAGGGUGUACCUCUUCUGUCUCGAAAGGAAGAACCCUGCGAUGAUCCGUCCCUGUCGUAGUGAUGUCGAGGAAGAGACGUGAGGUUGAUGCGUCUGCGAUGCUAGUAGUUUUGGUAUGGGGGCAAUGCUGCAACAGCAGGGACAUCCAAUUGCUUUCAUUUCAAAGGCAUUUGGACCAAGAAAUAAGGGUUUAUCUGUCUAUGAGAAGGAAUUAUUGGCUAUUACAUUUGCUGUUACUAAUUGGAGACACUAUUUGGAGCAAGGGCAAUUUUAUAUCAAAACAUAUCAUGAGUCUAUAAGAUUCCUCUUGGAACAAAGGCUACAUACUAACUUGUAGCAAAAAGGCAUUUCCAAAUUAUUAGGGUUGGAUUACAAGAUCUUGUAUAGAAGAGGGGUGGAGAAUAAAGUGGCUGAUGCUCUUUCUAGGAUACCAUUGAGGGAAGCAGAGCAGGAAUCUACUUGUACUGUCAUUACAGUCAUCCAGCCUGCUUGGAUAAAUGAAUUGAUAGCCAGUUAUGAAGGAGGCAGUCAAAUUGGGCAAUUAUUGGCUCAAUUAGCUAUUGAUAAUAGCUCUCAUCCUGGUUAUGAAUGCAAAAAAGGGAUAUUGUACUUUAAAGGCAGGCUGUUUGUGGGCCUUGCUACUUCACUUAGACAGAAAUUGCUGGCCAUCUAUCAUGACUCUCCUAUGGGAGGACAUUCUGGUAUUCACCCUACUUACUUGAGGCUGAAAAGACUUUUUUUCUGGCCAGGUCUUAUGCAGGAUGUGAUCCAAUGGGUUAAGAAGUGUGAUGUGUGUGCCAGGUGUAAAAGUGACCAUAGCCUGCCUGGUGGUUUAUUACAGCCACUACCAGUCCCCACACAAGCCUGGCAACAUAUUUAAAUGGAUUUUAUUGAGCAAUUGCCAAGAUCUGGAGGAAAGGAUGUCAUAUUGGUGGUAGUU
rnacentral:misc_RNA from 1 species